UGGAAAAUCCACAAACUGGUUGAAGUGAGGGAGAACAGUCUUCAUGUUGGCCUGGUUAAAAUCCCCAGCAAUGAUGAAAACGCCCUCUGUGUGUGAGGAUUGCAACUCACUGAUGGUCCAGUAGAGAACACUCAUAGCCUCUUUAGUGUUAGCACUGGGGGGCACAUACACAGCAGUGAUGCUAACAACAGUAAACUCCCUGGGCAGGUAGAAUGGUCUGCAGUUAACAGUCAGAAGCUCGAUGUCCGGGGAGCAGUAACUGGCGACAGUCAUGGCAUUUUUACACCAGUUGUUGUUGAUGUAAAUACACAGCCCCCCUCCUCGGGUUUUACCGCUGAGAGCGCUGCUCCUGUCUGCGCGGAAUGUAGCGAGCCCCUCCAGGCUAAUAACGUUGUCCGGUAUGGACGAGUUGAGCCAUGUCUCUGUCAGAAUGAGAGCGCAGCAGUUCCUCAACUCUCUCUUUGAAGACAGUUCCAGUUGCAGAUGGUCUAUUUUGUUGUCCAGAGAGCGGACGUUGGAGAGGAGGAUGGACGGAAGGGGCGAACUGUGGGGGUUAGCGUUUAGCUUAGAUGUUAGUCCACUUCGACAGCCGCGCUUCCGCUGCCGGUCGCACCGCCUUCGCUUGCUCCUCCUCCGACUAGUGCUGCUAGGCGAGUCCGCUGCGCUGUGGGCCGCUGGGUCUUGCCUCCGUAGCACUCCAAGGUCACGUAAACACUCCAGAGUAGUCGUAUUUAUGAGUCCAAAAUCACUUGAUGAUCGUAAUUCCAGCAGACGCUGGCGAUCAUAUGCUAACUUACUGAGUGGAUGCAAAGUUUGUAGUGUUUUAGGCGGCGUAUUUUGCUCAAAUACUCGCAAGUUGUCGAGAGCCCAUGCAGCCGCAGCCAUACAGGGCGCCGCCAUAUUGUCAGCAUAGGUGUGAAUAAA